GGGGUUGUAGCCUAGUGGUUAGAGUGUCAAACUCACGAUUGGAAGGUCGGGGGUUCGAUUCUGCGAUCCCA
rfam:Macrostomum lignano unitig_27806, whole genome shotgun sequence.